rnacentral:rRNA from 1 species
GACGAACGCUGGCGGCGUGCUUAACACAUGCCAGUCGAACGGAAAGGCUCCAGCUUGCUGGAGUGCUCGAGUGGCGAACGGGUGAGUAACACGUGGGCAAUCUGCCCUUCACUCUGGGAUAAGCCUGGGAAACUGGGUCUAAUACCGGAUAGGACCUUUCUCCUCAUGGGGUUUGGUGGAAAGUUUUUCGGUGCAGGAUGAGCCCGCGGCCUAUCAGCUUGUUGGUGGGGUAAUGGCCUACCAAGGCGACGACGGGUAGCCGGCCUGAGAGGGUGAUCGGCCACAUGGGGACUGGGGUACGGCCCAGACUCCUACGGGAGGCAGCAGUGGGGAAUAGUGCACAAUGGGCGAAAGCCUGAUGCAGCGACGCCGCGUGGGGGAUGACGGCCUUCGGGUUGUAAACCUCUUUCAGUAGGGACGAAGCGCAAGUGACGGUACCUGCAGAAGAAGCACCGGCUAACUACGU